rnacentral:rRNA from 1 species
CUACGUGCCAGCAGCCGCGGUAAUACGUAGGUGGCAAGCGUUGUCCGGAUUUAUUGGGCGUAAAGCGAGCGCAGGCGGUUCCUUAAGUCUGAUGUGAAAGCCCCCGGCUCAACCGGGGAGGGUCAUUGGAAACUGGGGAACUUGAGUGCAGAAGAGGAGAGUGGAAUUCCAUGUGUAGCGGUGAAAUGCGUAGAUAUAUGGAGGAACACCAGUGGCGAAGGCGACUCUCUGGUCUGUAACUGACGCUGAGGCUCGAAAGCGUGGGGAGCGAACAGGAUUAGAUACCCUGGUAGUCCACGCCGUAAACGAUGGGUGCUAGGUGUUGGAUCCUUUCCGGGAUUCAGUGCCGCAGCUAACGCAUUAAGCACUCCGCCUGGGGAGUACGACCGCAAGGUUGAAACUCAAAGGAAUUGACGGGGGCCCGCACAAGCGGUGGAGCAUGUGGUUUAAUUCGAAGCAACGCGAAGAACCUUACCAGGUCUUGACAUCCCUCUGACCGCUCUAGAGAUAGAGUUUU